rnacentral:rRNA from 1 species
UACCAGCACCCCGAGUGGUCGGGACGAUUAUUGGGCCUAAAGCAUCCGUAGCCGGUCCUACAAGUCUUCCGUUAAAUCCACCUGCUUAACAGAUGGGCUGCGGAAGAUACUAUAGGGCUAGGAGGCGGGAGAGGCAAGCGGUACUCAGUGGGUAGGGGUAAAAUCCUCUGAUCCAUUGAAGACCACCAGUGGCGAAGGCGGCUUGCCAGAACGCGCUCGACGGUGAGGGAUGAAAGCUGGGGGAGCAAACCACGG